AGAGAGAGACAUGCGCGCAUAUCAAUAAGCGGAGGAAAAGAAACUAACAAGGAUUCCCCUAGUAACGGCGAGUGAAGCGGGAAGAGCUCAAAUUUGAAAUCUUAAAGGGUUUCCCUUUACGAAUUGUAGUUUAAAGAAGUGUUUUCUGUUGAGGUUUUGGUAAAAGUUCUUUGGAAUAGGACAUCAUAGAGGGUGAGAAUCCCGUAUUUGACCAUUACUUUCCAGCUUUGUGAUACACUUUCAAAGAGUCGGAUUGUUUGGGAAUGCAGUCCAAAAUGGGUGGUAAAUUUCAUCUAAAGCUAAAUAUUGGCGAGAGACCGAUAGCGAACAAGUACCGUGAGGGAAAGAUGAAAAGAACUUUGAAAAGAGAGUUAAACAGUACGUGAAAUUGUCAAAAGGGAAGCGUUUGACACCAGUGUUGUUUUUCUGAAAAUCAAUUAAAGAACUGUUUAUGCUAAGUUGUUUAGACUUUAUCAGCUAACUGUUUAGUUUUGAGCUUUUCUUUAAUGCACUUUUCAGUUAACAAGUCAACAUCAAUUUCUUUUGCUGUAAAAAAGCUUGAGGAAGGUGGCUUGAGAUUCGUCUUAAGUGUUUAUAGCCUCUUGCCUAUGCAGUCGGAGAGAUUGAGGUCUGCAGCGUAGAUCCUUCGGGGCUAAAUGCAUUUGUGCUAAGUUAUAGCAUUUUAUAGACAACUUGUUGACUAUGAUUUGUCUUGUAGCUUACUCGCUUAUGUUAUUUUACCUACGCUUAGGAUGUUGAGCGCAUGUCUCUCUCU
rnacentral:rRNA from 1 species